GGACUAGUAGUUUAUUUAGAACGUUGGCAUGUCAGGCCGGAGGGGCACAGUUGUGCCUAGUCAG
rnacentral:tRNA from 1 species